rnacentral:rRNA from 1 species
AACGAACGCUGGCGGCAUGCCUAACACAUGCCAGUCGUACGAGACCUUCGGGUCUAGUGGCGCACGGGUGCGUAACGCGUGGGAACCUGCCCUUAGGUUCGGAAUAACUCCCCGAAAGGGGUGCUAAUACCGGAUAAUGUCUUCGGACCAAAGAUUUAUCGCCUUUGGAUGGGCCCGCGUUGGAUUAGCUAGUUGGUAGGGUAAAAGCCUACCAAGGCGACGAUCCAUAGCUGGUCUGAGAGGAUGAUCAGCCACACUGGGACUGAGACACGGCCCAGACUCCUACGGGAGGCAGCAGUGGGGAAUAUUGGACAAUGGGCGAAAGCCUGAUCCAGCAAUGCCGCGUGAGUGAUGAAGGCCUUAGGGUUGUAAAGCUCUUUUACCCGGGAUGAUAAUGACAGUACCGGGAGAAUAAGCUCCGGCUAACUCCGUG